CCUACGGGAGGCAGCAGUGAGGAAUAUUGGUCAAUGGGCGAAAGCCUGAACCAGCCAUGCCGCGUGCAGGAAGAAGGUCCUAUGGAUUGUAAACUGCUUUUAUUAGGGAAUAAACUCUGGUACGUGUACCAGCCUGAAGGUACCUAAUGAAUAAGCACCGGCUAACUCCGUGCCAGCAGCCGCGGUAAUACGGAGGGUGCAAGCGUUAUCCGGAAUCAUUGGGUUUAAAGGGUCCGCAGGCGGUUUGAUAAGUCAGUGGUGAAAGCCUACAGCUCAACUGUAGAACUGCCAUUGAUACUGUCAGACUUGAAUUCGAUCGAAGUGGGCGGAAUGUGACAUGUAGCGGUGAAAUGCUUAGAUAUGUCACAGAACACCGAUAGCGAAGGCAGCUCACUAGGUCUGGAUUGACGCUCAGGGACGAAAGCGUGGGGAGGACAACAGAGUAGUAUACCUACGUAGUCGACGACCGUAACUACUACAUACUCGUUCUUGUCGUCUUCGGUAGGUCGGGUACGUACGACGAAGUAGAGUAAGUUAGUUAGUCGUAACCGUCGGGGUAGGGUUACGGUUAGUCGCGUUAGGUUAGGUUAACGUUACGAAGGAAGUUAGUUACGGCGUUGGAGACGUUCGCCGACGGACGACGACGAGGGGAGGUAGG
rnacentral:rRNA from 1 species